UAUAUAAUAAUAUAAUAAUAAUAACACUCUCUCAUCAGUAGCUCCCCACAAUCAAAAACUGGACUAGGUGCAUCGCCUGGCACUGAGUUACAAGCUAAAGUUAGCCACAGACAUGUUCGUUCAGCCUGUUAAUUCUUUCAGUCCGAUUUGACUUAUUUUACGAAGUCAGCAUGGCAUUAACAUAGUUUCUUUCGGUUUUUGAUCUUGACAUUGUUGCUGGAUAGAUACUUUGAUAGCUAAAAUGCUGGCACUGCUAGUUGGGUAAGUUCCCGAGAGAGAGCAGCAUAUUGUUUUCUAGGGCCUCCAUUCCCAACCCUGAAGCCCCCUGUCCCCAGCAGGAAAGACCAGGAGAAGGUGUUGGCAUCAGGUAAAACUUCCUAUUGAGGAAAGAUCUUACACCCUAUUAGCUCAACCACAGUCCUCACAGCUGCAGUCGUCUGCCCCUGUACCUGCUACACCGACCACGACAGGUGAUACAGAGGGAGAGAAACCAAACACCUACAGUCAUGGGUCUCCCAGUCGAGGCCCGCACGGGUAUUGAACCAGCAUCUGUAGCAACACAGCUUGUCUUAGACUGUCGCGCCACUCAGGCGCUGAACAACGUGACCGAUCGGGAGUGGGCUACAGUAAUAUAAUCUGCCAUGCAGUCCACCACUGCCUGACAGCCUCACCCAGAAGACACUGGGCCUAUCAAGACUGACAAAGCAGAGAUGGGUGGCUGACAAGGUAAAACAAUAUGCACACACACAUUCUACACAAUGUAAAUCAUUUGGUGUUACUUGUUUUUUUUAUGUUUACUCCAUUUUAUUUUAGGAUUGUAGAUAUCUACUCCUUCAUAUCCGUUCUCAAUAUCUACAUAAUUAUUCUAAAUAUCUAUCAAAUAAAAGUGUGAUUGAUAAUAUUGUAAAAGACUAUGGCUUAAUGUGUACAGUGAGGAAAUUCUGUGUGCUUUUUUCUGAGUUGAAAAACAUGCCUCCCUCACACACACACACACACAUUGGACACAAUGUAAAUGCAUAGUUUAUUUUAUGUAUGUCUAUUUUUGUGAGGAUUGUGCGCAUUAAAGUACCUUCACAGUUAAAGCAACAGUUUGGUUUAUUGGAUAUUUCUCUGAUUUAAAUAUGUACAGGGUUCCCAGGAGUUGCAGGAAAAUAUGUUUAUUGUCUUGCAAAAGUAUUAAUGUGCCAAGGCCAUUCCCUGGCUACCCAUCCACAUCCCUCAGGCCAAACAGAUGUUUGUUCUACACAAUGAAUGUACACUACCGUUCAAAAGUUUAGGGUCACUUAGAAUUGUCCGUUUUUGAAAGAAAAGCACAUUUUAUGUUCAUUAAAAUAAUAAAAUUGAUCAGAAAUACAGCGUAGACAUUGUUAAUGUUGUAAAUGACUAUUGUAGCUGGAAACAGCUGAAUUUUAAUGGAACCAUCACUACUGUGUUCCAAUGGCAUGUUGUGUUAGCUAAUCCAGGUUUACCAUUUUAAAAGGCUAAUUGAUCAUUAGAAAACCCUGUUGCAAUUAUGUUAGCACAGCUGAAAACUGAUGUUCUGAUUAAAGAAGCAAUACAACUGGCCUUUAGACUAGUUGAAUAUAUACAGUUGAAGUCGUAAGUUUCCAUACACUUAGGUUGGAGUCAUUAAAACUAAUUUUUCAACCACUCCACAAAUGUAUUUGGAUCUACCCAUCCCGGAUCCGGGAGAAUUGUCAUCAACUGACACUAAGUAGCAUAACGCAACGGACAAAAAAUCUUACUAGAAAAUAUUCAUAUUCAUGAAAUCACAAGUGAAAUAUAGUGAAACACAGCUUAGCCUUUUGUUAAUCACCCUGUCAUCUCAGAUUUUGAAAAUAUUCUUUACAGCCAAAGCAAGACAAGCAUUUGUGUAAGUUUAUCAAUAGCCUAGCAUAGCAUUAUGGCUAGCUAGCAGCAGGCAAUCUGGUCACGAAAAUCAGAAAAGCAAUCAAAUUGAAUCGUUUACCUUUGAUAAGCUUCGGAUGUUUUCACUCACGAGACUCCCAGUUAGAUAGCAAAUGUUCCUUUUUUCCAGAAAAAUUAUUUAUGUAGCCAAAAAUAGCUCCAUUAGUUCUUCACUUUGGCUGAGAAAACGCCCGGAAAUUGCGGUCACGACAACGCCGAAAAAUAUUCCAAAUUAGCUCCAUAAUAUCGACAGAAACAUGGCAAACGUUGUUUAUAAUCAAUCCUCAAGGUGUUUUUCAAAUAUCUAUUCAAUAAUAUAUCAACCGGGACAGAGCUUUUUUCAGUAAGACCGGGUGGAAAAAUGGUUACCUCUGUCUUUUGCGUGAGAAAUACACAAAGAGCCAUCAGGUGGACACUGACGAAAUGUUGUUGUACACGCUCAUUUUUUCUAAAUAAAAGCCUGAAACUAUGUCUUGUGAUACUAGACACAUUAAGGAAUCCAUAGAAAAAGGAAUCUCGUUGAUAUCCCAUUCACUGCUCAAUAGGGAAGCAUAGGAAGGGACUCUUAUUUAGAAACCGCUGCGUUCCUGUUUGGAUUUUUCUCAUUCUUUUGCCUGCAAUAUCAGUUCUGUUAUACUCACAGACAAUAUCUUUACCGUUUUGGAAACGUUAGAGUGUUUUCUAUCCUAAGCUGUCAGUUAUAUGCAUAUUCUAUUUUCUGGUCCUGAAAAAUAGCCUGUUUACUUUGGGAACGUUAUUUUUCCAAAAAUUAAAAAAUGACCCCUAGAUUCAACAAGUUUUUAACAAACUAUAGUUUUGGCAAGUCUGUUAGGACAUUACUUUGUGCAUGACCCCCAUUCAUUUUUCCAACAAUUGUUUACAGACAGAUUAUUUCACUUAAUCACAAUUCCAGUGGUUCAGAAGUUUACAUACACUAAGUUGACCAUGCCUUUAAACAGCUUGUAAAAUUCCAGAAAAUGAUGUAAUGGCUUUAGAAGCUGAUGGGCUGAUUGACAUAAUUUGAGUCAAUUGGAGGUGUAACCUGUGGGUGUAUUUUAAGGCCUACCUUCAAACUCAAUGCCUCUGCUUGACAUCAUGGGAAAUUCAAAAGAAAUCAGCCAAGACCUCGGAAUAAAAAUUGUAGACCUCCACAAGUCUGGUUUAUCCUUGGGAGCAAUUUCCAAACGCCUGCAACUGC